rnacentral:misc_RNA from 1 species
UCUCCGUAGGUGAACCUGCGGAGGGAUCACUACAGGCUUGCAAAAGCUCUGAAACCACUGUUUACCUACCUGAAUCUGCUUCGGCGGGCGGCCCCAGGGCGGGGCCGUAGCCGCAAGGCGCCCGCCGAAGACCCCUAAACUCUGUCGUCUUGAGAAUCUCUGAGUAUCAUAUUAAACAGAAAACAACUUUCAACAACGGAUCUCUUGGCUCUGGCUUCGAUGAAGAACGCAGC